CCUACGGGGGGCAGCAGUGGGGAAUCUUGCGCAAUGGGCGCAAGCCUGACCCAGCAACGCCGCGUGAAUGAAGAAGGCUUUCGGGUUGUAAACUUCUUUUAAGAGGGAAGAGCAGAAGACGGUAUCUCUUUAAUAAGCCACGGCUAACCACGUGCCAACAGCCGCGGUAAUACGUAGGUGGCAAGCGUGGUCCGGCUUUACUGGGUGUAAAGGGCGUGCAGCCGGGAAGACAAGUCAGAUGUGAAAUCCCGCGGCUCAACCGCGGAACGGCAUUUGAAACUGGUUUUCUUGAGUACCGGAGAGGACAUUGGAAUUCCAUGUGUAGCGGUGAAAUGCGUAGAUAUAAGGAAGAACACCAGUGGCGAAGGCGGAUGUCUGGACGGCAACUGACGGUGAGGUGCGAAAGCGUGGGGAGCAAACAGGAUUAGAUACCCGAGUAGUC
rnacentral:rRNA from 1 species